GUAAGGAAUUACAGUAAAAUAUAGUUACUAUAAUUCUAAUUAUUAAGUAACAUACAGGCACGCUAAGAAGAAGGCACAAUACAAAGAUAUAACUCUACUCCCAAGUCUACUGAUAAAAAGGGCUAAAGAAGUGAAGAAUGCAGAUAUCAUAGAUGCUUCGUUUGAUGAUAAGGAGGUCAAAUAUUGUAGAUUUAAUGCAAUAAUCAAAGAUAUAUUAAAUAUAGAUGACCCAUGGUAUUCUUCUUGCAAGAGAUGCUACAAGAAAGUGGACUUUAUAAAUAAUAUUGCAAAAUGUCCUCGUUGUCGCACAGAAAAAGUUGAUUAUGAGGAAAGAUAUCUUCUAAAGCUUGAGGUGUUUGAUAAGAAAGAACACUGUUAUGUUACAUUGUUUGAAGCUACAAGAUAGUUGCUUGGUUGCGAUGCUAAAACGUAUACAGAAUCAGUAUCUCCCAAGAAAGAAGAAUCCACAUUUUACCAUAAGCUGGUGUUGAGUAAGGAAAAAGAAUACACAUUUCUUCUCAAAAUUGAUGCAAGAAAUGGAGGAGAUUGGGCUAGACGACGCGUCAUUGCAGAGGAAAUACAGGAAGUUGAAGAAGCUAUUGCAAUUGACAUAGAAGAUGAAGAUAUAGAAUCAGAACCACUAAUCAGGAAAACCAAACAUACUGAGGAUGACACUGAUGAAAAGAUAACUUAUAAAAGAGUCAAAAUUGAAAAUAAUUAGUGGUGUUUUGUUCUCUAAUAAGUAUAAGCUCGAAUAUUUUUAUAGUCUAGAUAGUUAUUGAUUGUUUAGGUUUUCAUUC